rnacentral:rRNA from 1 species
UUUUUGGUUUAGAGUCUGUGACGAUCCGAUUAAAAUUGCCUCAGGCAAAGUAGACCAAAGUGCAAUUGACCAAGUGUCGUAGGUUCAGGCAAUAGGGUUCCCCCAGGCAAUCAAAUUUCACCAGGCAUUUUUGGUUUAGAGUCUGUGACGAUCCGAUUAAAAAUUGCCUCAGGCAAAGUAGACCAAAGUGCAAUUGACCAAGUGUCGUAGGGUUCAGGCAAUAGGGUUCCCCCAGGCAAUCAAAUUUCACCAGGCAUUUUUGGUUUAGAGUCUGUGACGAUCUUUUUUGGUUUUAGAGUCUGUGUUUUUGGUUUAGAGUCUGUGACGAUUUAGAGUCUGUGACGGCUUGAAUGAUCGUGCAUGGAAUAAUAGAAAAUGAUUUCGGUUCAGUUUUAUUGGUUUUACGGACUGAGAUAAUGGUUAACAGAGACAAACGGGGGCAUUUGUAUGGUCCCGUGAGAGGUGAAAUUCUUGGACCGUGGCCAGACAAACUACAGCGAAAGCAUUUGCCAAGAAUGUUUUUAUUAAUCAAGAACGAAAGUCAGAGGUUCGAAGGCGAUCAGAUACCGCCCUAGUUCUGACCGUAAACGAUGCCAACUAGCGAUCCGCUGAUGGAAAUUAUAUUGCCUUGGUGGGAGCUUCCCGGAAACGAAAGUCUUCCGGUUCCGGGGAAGUAUGGUUGCAAAGCUGAAACUUAAAGGAAUUGACGGAAGGGCACCACCAGGAGUGGAGCCUGCGGCUUAAUUUGACUCAACACGGGGAAACUCACCCGGCCCGGACACUGUGAGGAUUGACAGAUUGAUAGCUUUUUCAUGAUUCAGUGGAUGGUGGUGCAUGGCCGUUCUUAGUUCGUGGAGUGAUUUGUCUGGUUUAUUCCGAUAACGAGCGAGACUCUAACCUACUAAAUAGUUGGUACAUACUCUUUGUGUAUACAGCUUCUUAGAGGGAUUUGCGGCGUUCAGCCGAAAGAAAUUGAGCAAUAACAGGUCUGUGAUGCCCUUAGAUGUCCGGGCUGCACGCGCGCUACACUGGCAAAAUCAACGUGCUUGUCCUACCCGAAAGGGGCGGGUAAACCAUUGAAAAUUUGCCGUGAUUGGGAUCGGAAAUUGCAAUUAUUUUCCGUGAACGAGGAAUUCCAAGUAAGUGCGAGUCAUCAGCUCGCGUUGAUUACGUCCCUGCCCUUUGUACACACCGCCCGUCGCUGCCCGGGACUGAGCCAUUUCGAGAAAUUUGGGGACCGUUGAUUUAAUUUUUCUAAAUUACUUUGAUGGAAAUCAAUUUAAUCGCAGUGGCUUGAACCGGGCAAAAGUCGUAACAAGGUAGCUGUAGGUGAACCUGCUGCUG